rnacentral:lncRNA from 1 species
UGUGCAAGUGGUACAACAGAUAAGUAGGAUUCUAAAGAUAUUCUAAAGACAACUGCAUACUCUUUAUAGACCGCAGGCAAGUGGACAGGUAGAAAAAAUGAAACAUUUAAUUAAACAACAAAUAGCUAAAAUCGGACAAGAAUCUAAUUUGUCAUGACCUCAAUCCCUCCCUUUAACAUUACUUAGAAUUUGAGUUAAACCUAGAAUAAAAAGGGAAUUUGAGUCCCUUUGAAAUCUUAUAUGGAAGGCGGUAUCCAUUUCUAUUUAGUGGAGAGGAUCGAACGCAGUUAGGAUUAGAAUAUAUAUAUAUAUAUAUAUUCAGUUAUAUAUAUAUGCAUAUAUAACUGAACUUCAGAAAUAAUUAAAUAAAGUACAUAAAUUUGUUCUCAGGGAUUAUAUAUAUAAAGACUUUUUCAGGACAACCCCUAGAGGAAAAACGGAAGGAAAGUGGACGGGACCAUACCAGGUAUUACUGACAACACACACCGCCAUUAAGAUUAAGGAGCAAGCAGCUUGGAUCCACGAUUCAAGGGUGAAGAGGGCCCUGGCGAGGAUAUGGACCACCACUCCAAUUGGACCAAAAAAAUUAUGGUUUUCCAGAUCCUAAUGAUUGCAGGGGUGUGGUUCUCAGAUUCGGGGUGGGCAGUUUGGGAUGAGAACUUACACCUGUCCCUGAUACAAAAGGGUGUAUUGUUAAUCAGGAUUCCCUUGCCUGCAAACUUACCUUGGACUAAUUCGUGGGAAAACACAUCUUGGGUCAAAAAAAAAUAUGAAGAAGUUUUGGAACUAGAAGUUAGUAGCUUUGUGCCAUUGGAAUCUUACUAUGUAUGUGUACAAAGGUGUAACCCGCCUAAGGGUAUGGGAAAACAGGAUUGUAUAAAUACAGGUACUACUUAUGUGGGAAAUCAGACAUCUUGUAAUCAAACAAUUGAUAUUAGUACAACUAGCAGUUGGGCAAAUUCAACCAGCUGGC